GACGAACGCUGGCGGCGUGCUUAACACAUGCAAGUCGAACGGAAAGGCCCUGCUUUUGUGGGGUGCUCGAGUGGCGAACGGGUGAGUAACACGUGAGUAACCUGCCCUUGACUUUGGGAUAACUUCAGGAAACUGGGGCUAAUACCGGAUAGGAGCUCCUGCUGCAUGGUGGGGGUUGGAAAGUUUCGGCGGUUGGGGUUGGACUCGCGGCUUAUCAGCUUGUUGGUGGGGUAGUGGCUUACCAAGGCUUUGACGGGUAGCCGGCCUGAGAGGGUGACCGGCCACAUUGGGACUAAGAUACGGCCCAGACUCCUACGGUAGGCAGAAGUGGGGAAUAUUGCACAAUGGGCGGAAGCCUGAGGCAGCAACGCCGCGUGCGGGAUGACGGCCUUCGGGUUGUAAACCGCUUUCGCCUGUGACGAAGCGUGAUUGACGGUAAUGGGUAAAGAAGCACCGGCUAACUACGUG
rnacentral:rRNA from 1 species